rnacentral:rRNA from 1 species
UACGGAGGGUGCGAGCGUUGUCCGGAAUCAUUGGGCUUAAAGGGUGCGUAGGCGGCGCGGAAAGUAGGGUGUGAAAUCCCUCGGCUCAACCGAGGAACUGCGCUCUAAACUACCGUGCUCGAGGGAGGUAGAGGUGAGCGGAACUGAGGGUGGAGCGGUGAAAUGCGUUGAUAUCCUCAGGAACACCGGUGGCGAAAGCGGCUCACUGGACCUCUUCUGACGCUGAGGCACGAAAGCGUGGGGAGCAAACAGG